UCAUUUCCUUUUCAAUAUUAUGCAAUUGCACCAAAAAUCCAGUGUGUGUCUUCCGAAGGACCCGCUCCAUCCGAUGGCUAGUGAUAGUUGUAACCUUACCUCCAUGUCUUCCUUUGAGAGUCACAUGUCUUCCAUUAAUAAAGAACUUCAUAAUCAGUUUAGAAAAAUUCCAGGAGACAUCACCUAGGGUUGAUAGCCAUUCAAUUCCGAGCACCACUUCAUAGUCUUCCAAGGGUAAUAAAAAGAAAUUCACAAAUAAUUCUUGACCUUGC
rnacentral:lncRNA from 1 species